rnacentral:rRNA from 1 species
GGAAUAUUGCACAAUGGACGCAAGCCUGAUGCAGCCAUGCCGCGUGUAUGAAGAAGGCCUUCGGGUUGUAAAGUACUUUCAGCGGGGAGGAAGGGAGUAAAGUUAAUACCUUUGCUCAUUGACGUUACCCGCAGAAGAAGCACCGGCUAACUCCGUGCCAGCAGCCGCGGUAAUACGGAGGGUGCAAGCGUUAAUCGGAAUUACUGGGCGUAAAGCGCACGCAGGCGGUUUGUUAAGUCAGAUGUGAAAUCCCCGGGCUCAACCUGGGAACUGCAUCUGAUACUGGCAAGCUUGAGUCUCGUAGAGGGGGGUAGAAUUCCAGGUGUAGCGGUGAAAUGCGUAGAGAUCUGGAGGAAUACCGGUGGCGAAGGCGGCCCCCUGGACGAAGACUGACGCUCAGGUGCGAAAGCGUGGGGAGCAAACA